rnacentral:tRNA from 1 species
GCGAAGGUGGCGGAAUUGGUAGACGCGCUAGCUUCAGGUGUUAGUGUCCUUACGGACGUGGUGGUUCAAGUCCCCCCCCUCGCACCA